rnacentral:rRNA from 1 species
CGUAGGUGGCAAGCGUUGUCCGGAAUUAUUGGGCGUAAAGCGCGCGCAGGCGGUCCUUUAAGUCUGAUGUGAAAGCCCACGGCUCAACCGUGGAGGGUCAUUGGAAACUGGGGGACUUGAGUACAGAAGAGAAGAGUGGAAUUCCACGUGUAGCGGUGAAAUGCGUAGAGAUGUGGAGGAACACCAGUGGCGAAGGCGACUCUUUGGUCUGUAACUGACGCUGAGGCGCGAAAGCGUGGGGAGCAAACAGGAUUAGAUACCCUGGUAGUCCACGCCGUAAACGAUGAGUGCUAAGUGUUAGAGGGUUUCCGCCUUUAGUGCUGCAGCAAACGCAUUAAGCACUCCGCCUGGGGAGUACGGCCGCAAGGCUG